AUUGAACGCUGGCGGCAUGCUUUACACAUGCAAGUCGAACGGCAGCACGGGCUUCGGCCUGGUGGCGAGUGGCGAACGGGUGAGUAAUAUAUCGGAACGUACCCAGAAGUGGGGGAUAACGUAGCGAAAGUUACGCUAAUACCGCAUACGAUCUAUGGAUGAAAGCAGGGGACCGCAAGGCCUUGUGCUCCUGGAGCGGCCGAUAUCUGAUUAGCUAGUUGGUGAGGUAAAGGCUCACCAAGGCGACGAUCAGUAGCUGGUCUGAGAGGACGACCAGCCACACUGGAACUGAGACACGGUCCAGACUCCUACGGGAGGCAGCAGUGGGGAAUUUUGGACAAUGGGCGCAAGCCUGAUCCAGCAAUGCCGCGUGAGUGAAGAAGGCCUUCGGGUUGUAAAGCUCUUUUGUCAGGGAAGAAACGGUAGAGGCUAAUAUCCUUUGCUAAGGACGGUACCUGAAGAAUAAGCACCGGCUAACUACGU
rnacentral:rRNA from 1 species